UGGGGAAUAUUGGGCAAUGGACGCAAGUCUGACCCCAGCAACGCCGCGUGAAGGAAGAAGGCUUUCGGGUUGUAAACUUCUUUUAAGGGGGAAGAGCAGAAGACGGUACCCCUUGAAUAAGCCACGGCUAACUACGUGCC
rnacentral:rRNA from 1 species